rnacentral:rRNA from 1 species
GAUGAACGCUAGCGGGAGGCUUAACACAUGCAAGUCGAGGGGCAGCACAAGGUAGCAAUACUUUGGUGGCGACCGGCGCACGGGUGAGUAACGCGUAUGCAACCUACCCUGUACAGGGGGAUAGCCCGGAGAAAUUCGGAUUAAUACCCCAUAAAGAUAUCUGGAGGCAUCUUUAGAUAUUUAAAGUUUCGGCGGUACGGGAUGGGCAUGCGUAACAUUAGCUAGUUGGUAGGGUAACGGCCUACCAAGGCAACGAUGUUUAGGGGUCCUGAGAGGGUGAUCCCCCACACUGGUACUGAGACACGGACCAGACUCCUACGGGAGGCAGCAGUGAGGAAUAUUGGUCAAUGGACGGAAGUCUGAACCAGCCAUCCCGCGUGCAGGAAGAAGGCGCUAUGCGUUGUAAACUGCUUUUCCAGGGGAAGAAAACCUGCUACGUGUAGUGGUUUGCCGGUACCCUGGGAAUAAGCAUCGGCUAACUCCGUGCCAGCAGCCGCGGUAAUACGGAGGAUGCGAGCGUUAUCCGGAUUUAUUGGGUUUAAAGGGUGCGUAGGCGGACCGAUAAGUCAGUGGUGAAAACCUGCAGCUUAACUGUAGAACUGCCAUUGAUACUGUCGGACUAGAGUGUGGUCAAGGUAGGCGGAAUGUGUAAUGUAGCGGUGAAAUGCUUAGAUAUUACACAGAACACCGAUUGCGAAGGCAGCUUGCUGGACCAUUACUGACGCUGAUGCACGAAAGCGUGGGGAGCAAACAGGAUUAGAUACCCUGGUAGUCCACGCCGUAAACGAUGAUCACUCGCUGUUGGCGAUACACAGUCAGCGGCUAAGCAAAAGCAUUAAGUGAUCCACCUGGGGAGUACGUG